GACGAACGCUGGCGGCGUGCUUAACACAUGCAAGUCGAACGAGGCUUGAUUACGGAUUCUUCGGAUGAAGUAUGAUAUGACUGAGUGGCGGACGGGUGAGUAACGCGUGAGUAACCUGCCCUUCAGAGGGGGAUAGCGUUUGGAAACGAACGGUAAUACCGCAUAAUGUAUUUUGACCGCAUGAUCGAAAUACCAAAGAUUUAUCGCUGAAGGAUGGACUCGCGUCUGAUUAGGUAGUUGGUGGGGUAACGGCCUACCAAGCCGACGAUCAGUAGCCGGACUGAGAGGUUGAUCGGCCACAUUGGGACUGAGACACGGCCCAGACUCCUACGGGAGGCAGCAGUGGGGAAUAUUGCACAAUGGGCGCAAGCCUGAUGCAGCAACGCCGCGUGAAGGAAGACGGUUUUCGGAUUGUAAACUUCUGUUCUUAGUGAAGAAUAAUGACGGUAGCUAAGGAGCAAGCCACGGCUAACUACGUG
rnacentral:rRNA from 1 species